rnacentral:rRNA from 1 species
UCGCACCUACCGAUUGAAUGAUUCCGUGAAAAUUCUGGACUGUGGCUCGGACGCCUUCGGGCGACCUUGCUGUGGGAAGUUAUUUAAACCUCAUCAUUUAGAGGAAGGUGAAGUCGUAACAAGGUUUCCGUAGGUGAACCUGCGGAAGGAUCAUUACCACACCCUCAAAUA